CUACUGAUCUAGUAAAGAUCCCACGGCAUUAACCACACCCAAACACGUUAUGUUGUGUGAUGACCAUGUAGCUUACCAUACCAUCCAACCUAACCUUGUAAAAUCGUGUGAUCGAUAUAGUACGUGAAAUUGUAGAAGUUGCUGUUUAAAAUAGGAGCUAAACUAGGUCAACGACUUACACCUGACGUCGAUCUUCGUGCACGCAAUCUUAGUCGUAACUCACGUUGAAUUAUUUCCUCCGAUAAUAAAAUGGGUCAGAGCUUGACCAUAUUUACCCUUUGCAACCUAAUUGUUUUGCUUUAAUCCGCAUCUUAAGCAUAUAUUUAUUUGUCAAAAAGGCAAAUAUGACAGAAAAAUUAACAUAAAUGAGAAGAAGAGGAGAUGUGAUUUCGAACAAAUUACUUUAUUCAACUUCAUUCUUCAUAUAAUUCUCUAACAUUUCACUUCACUUACAUAAUUAAGGCCACUUAUAUCUAAAAUCUCUUCUAUGGACGGAUUCGUUAACAAAGUUAACAUACAAAUUAUUUUACAAAACAAUAAAUAUAGCAUAUUUAUGUAACGUUUUAUUACAAAGAUGUAUAAAAUAUUUUUUUUUAUAUUAUUAUCUCCAACUUUCCUCAAAAGCAUAUAAAAAAUUAUUGCAUUUAUAACUUUAAAUAGUUGUAUGUGUUUUUUGUUCUUCCCGUAAUAUUCUUUCUUGUUUCUUUCUGUGCCUACG